UCAAUGACUUGUCAUUCUCGUAUCUUACUGAGAGGUCAUCGACCUUCUGUCAUUAAGUUGAUGGAGGGAGCCGAUCCUCUCCUUUUACUUUGAAAAAAUUAGAGUGUUUAAAGCAGGCUUUUUUUGCCCUGAAUAUUAUAGCAUGGGAUAAUAGAAUAGGACUCUUUGACUAUUUUGUUGGUUUCUAGUUGAAGGGUAAUGAUCAAUAGAGAUAGUUGGGGUGAUUGGUAUUUCAUUGUCAGAGGUGAAAUUCUUGGAUUUAUGAAAGACCAACUAAUGCGAAAGCAUUUCACAAGGAUGUUUUCAUUGAUCAAGAACGAAAGUUUGGGGAUCGAAUACGAUUAGAGACCGUAGUAGUCCAAUACUGUAAACGAUGCCGAUCAAGGAUGGGAGGACGACCUAUCAUGUCUCUUUCUGGACUUUGUGAGAAAUCAUGAAUUUCUGGGUUCCGGGGGGAGUAUGGUCGCAAGGCUGAAACUUAAAGGAAUUGACGGAAGGGCACACCAGGAGUGGAGCCUGCGGCUUAAUUUGACUCAACACGGGGAAACUUACCAGGUCCAGACGCAGGAAGGAUUGACAGAUCGAGAGCUCUUUCUUGAUUCUGUGGGUGGUGGUGCAUGGCCGUUCUUAGUUCGUGAGGUGACCCGUCUGGUUAAUUCCGAUAACGAACGAGACCUCAACCUGCUAAAUAGAAUAAGAGUGAGGUAUACAUGGGUGAAUGUGGGGGAGUGAUGUGGCUA
rnacentral:rRNA from 1 species